rnacentral:rRNA from 1 species
UGGGGAAUAUUGGACAAUGGGGGCAACCCUGAUCCAGCCAUGCCGCGUGGGUGAAGAAGGCCUUAGGGUUGUAAAACCCUUUCAGCGGGGAAGAUGAUGACGGUACCCGCAGAAGAAGCCCCGGCUAACUCCGUGCCAGCAGCCGCGGUAAUACGGAGGGGGCUAGCGUUGUUCGGAAUUACUGGGCGUAAAGGGCGUGUAGGCGGCUUGUCGAGUCAGGCGUGAAAGCCCCGGGCUUAACCUGGGAACUGCGUUUGAUACUGGCAGGCUAGAGGUUGGAAGAGGAGAGUGGAAUUCCCAGUGUAGAGGUGAAAUUCGUAGAUAUUGGGAAGAACACCAGUGGCGAAGGCGGCUCUCUGGUCCACACCUGACGCUGAGGCGCGAAAGCGUGGGGAGCAAACAGGAUUAGAUACCCCCGUAGUCC